rnacentral:lncRNA from 1 species
UACCCUCAGCCUGUUUUAUUUAUUUUUUUUAAUUUUGGGACAGGGUUUCUAUAAAUUGCUUAGGGCCUCAUUAAGUUGCUGAGGUUGGCUUUGAACUUGUGCUCCUCCUGCCUCAGACUCCCAAGCCACUGAGAUUAUAGGUAUGUACCACCACGCCUAGCUGCUCCUGCCCUUUAGUAGCACCUUUAGGGUGGGCCUAGCUCAGCUGCAGCUAUCCUUCAUGAAAGCUAGUAUCACUCUGACCCUGGGGAAUCUCAUGUGCUCUGCCUUAUAAUGCUCUCCUCUCACGUGACCAGCCUCCUUCUACUUUCUGCCUGCUUUGUUGUGUGGUUCUUCUCAACUCUAGUCUGCAAUUUUCUGGUUCCUCAACCCUCUUAGGACUCCUGGUCACCCCUCAGUCACAGUCCCUGUGCAUCAUGACUCCUGCUUUUUGGAAACUUUCUCUGCCUGGGGAAGCUCCCUCCUUGCUUUGGUAUGUCACAGCCUCACAUUGCAGCCAAAAAACAUGCAGUCUCACCCUCUCCAGCUAUUCUCAUGGCUACCUGUAUCUCUAAUUUGUGUUUCCCAACACCCAACUCCAGAAAAUCUGGAGUUUCUAUGCCAGGCCAUGUGGUGGUAGCUGUUGGUCAAUUGGGCUGUGGAUUGGCUGCCCUAGGGCAUGGCUUCUGCUGUGAUUGACAAGUUUCUUCUCCAAGGUUAUCCUGGGAUUUCUGGCUAUCUUGUACUUUCAGCAAAACAUCGCCUUUCCCUCUGCCUUGUAGGGCAGCUUGUUUAUUGCCCUAUUCAUGCACCUUCAUUCAGAGAACAAUUCAAUCUCUCCCCUCUAGACAAGAGAACAUGUAAAGACUCUACACUAUAGUUUUCUUGUCUAGGUUGCCAUUGUGGGGCACAUGGUGGGUCUGUUUUUGCCUCUCUUUCAAUGCGUAGAGGUCAGGCUUGCUCAGCCAAGCUUGACCAUGCUCAGGGGCCCAAGAGCCCAUACAUGAAGAUAUAUCAACAGAAGGGCUCCCUCUAGAGUCUGGCAGGGGAGUUCUCUUGGACAUUAGCCACAUUCACACCCUAUAAUUCAGAAUCCUAAAAUGGGUAGAUCAGGGACCCAUUUUUCUACAGAGCUCUUGUGGCACAGAUCUUUCAGGGCACAUGUUUGACUCAAUUCCCAGUCCUUAAGGCCAACCACCACUACCACCACAGCAAUACCACUUGACUGCGAUUGAUUAGUCCCAUUGGCAUAUUGCUAUUCUAAGCCUGGUUGAUUGCUAACAACGAAUGUGGAUGCUACAGAGUAG